UACGUAGGGUGCAAGCGUUAUCCGGAAUUAUUGGGCGUAAAGGGCUCGUAGGCGGUUCGUCGCGUCCGGUGUGAAAGUCCAUCGCUUAACGGUGGAUCCGCGCCGGGUACGGGCGGGCUUGAGUGCGGUAGGGGAGACUGGAAUUCCCGGUGUAACGGUGGAAUGUGUAGAUAUCGGGAAGAACACCAAUGGCGAAGGCAGGUCUCUGGGCCGUCACUGACGCUGAGGAGCGAAAGCGUGGGGAGCGAACAGG
rnacentral:rRNA from 2 species